rnacentral:rRNA from 1 species
GACGAACGCUGGCGGCGUGCUUAACACAUGCAAGUCGUACGGUAAGGCCCUUUCGGGGGUACACGAGUGGCGAACGGGUGCGUAACACGUGAGUAACCUGCCCACAACUUUGGGAUAACGCUAGGAAACUGGUGCUAAUACUGGAUAUGUGCUCCUGCUGCAUGGUGGGGGUUGGAAAGCUCCGGCGGUUGUGGAUGGACUCGCGGCCUAUCAGCUUGUUGGUGGGGUAGUGGCCUACCAAGGCGGCGACGGGUAGCCGGCCUGAGAGGGUGACCGGCCACAUUGGGACUGAGAUACGGCCCAGACUCCUACGGGAGGCAGCAGUGGGGAAUAUUGCACAAUGGGCGCAAGCCGGAUGCAGCAACGCCGCGGGCGGGAGGACGGCCUUCGGGUUGUAAACCGCUUUCAGCAGGGACGAAGCUUUUUGUGACGGUACCUGCAGAAGAAGCACCGGCUAACUACGUG